rnacentral:lncRNA from 1 species
GGCCGUGCGAUCUGUCGAGUAAUCAUGAAUCAUCGCAGCAACGGGCAGAGCCCGCGUCGACCUUUUAUCUAAUAAAUGCAUUCCUUCCAGAAGUCGGGGUUUGUCGCACGUAUUAGCUCUAGAAUUACUACUGUUAUCCGAGUAGUAGAUACCAUCAAACAAACUAUAACUGAUUUAAUGAGCCAUUCGCAGUUUCACAGUCUGAAUUUGUUCAUACUUACACAUUACUGUUAUCCGAGUAGUAGAUACCAUCAAACAAACUAUAACUGAUUUAAUGAGCCAUUCGCAGUUUCACAGUCUGAAUUUCUUCAUACUUACACAUGCAUGGCUUAAUCUUUGGGACAAGCAUAUGACUAUUGGCAGGAUCAACCAAGUA